rnacentral:rRNA from 1 species
AGCGAACGCUGGCGGCAGGCCUAACACAUGCAAGUCGAACGGACCUUUCGGGGUUAGUGGCGGACGGGUGAGUAACACGUGGGAACGUGCCCUUAGGUUCGGCAUAGCUCCUGGAAACGGGUGGUAAUGCCGAAUGUGCCCUGAGGCGGAUAGAUUUAUCGCCUUUAGAGCGGCCCGCGUCUGAUUAGCUAGUUGGUGAGGUAAUGGCUCACCAAGGCUACGAUCAGUAGCUGGCCUGAGAGGAUGACCAGCCACAUUGGGACUGAGACACGGCCCAAACUCCUACGGGAGGCAGCAGUGGGGAAUCUUGCGCAAUGGGCGAAAGCCUGACGCAGCCAUGCCGCGUGGAUGAUGAAGGUCUUAGGAUUGUAAAAUCCUUUCACCGGUGAAGAUUAUGACUGUAGCCGGAGAGGAAGCCCCGGCUAACUUCGUGCCAGCCGCCGCAGUAA